AGUGAACGCUGGCGGUAGGCCUAAUACAUGCAAGUCGAACGGCAGCACAGUAAGAUCGUGCCCUUACGGGUGGCGAGUGGCGGACGGGUGAGGAAUGCAUCGGAAACUAAUUUUACGUGGGGGAUAACGGAGGGAAGGUGAUGAUAAUACAGCAUACGUCCUACGGGAGAAAGCAGUGGAUCUUGAGGGCUUGCGCGAUAGAAUGAGCCGACGUCGGAUUAGCUAGUUGGUAAGGUAACGGCUUACCAAGGCAACGAUACGUAGCUGAGCUGAGAGGGUGAUCGGCCACACUGGAACUGAGACACGGUCCAGACUCCUACGGGAGGCAGCAGUAGGGAAUCUUCCGCAAUGGGCGAAAGCUUGACGGAGCAACGCCGCGUGAGUGAUGAAGGUCUUCGGAUCGUAAAACUCUGUUAUUAGGGAAGAACAAAUGUGUAAGUAACUAUGCACGUCUUGACGGUACCUAAUCAGAAAGCCCCGGCUAACUACGUG
rnacentral:rRNA from 1 species